GCCUGGGUGGCUCAGUGGUUGAGCAUCUGCCUUCAGCUCAGGUCGUGAUCUGGGGUCCUGGGAUCAAGUCCCACACUGGGCU
rnacentral:tRNA from 1 species